UACGUAGGGUGCGAGCGUUGUCCGGAUUUAUUGGGCGUAAAGAGCUCGUAGGCGGUUUGUCGCGUCUGCCGUGAAAUCUCCACGCUUAACGUGGAGCGUGCGGUCGAUACGGGCAGGCUUGAGUUCGGUAGGGGAGACUGGAAUUCCUGGUGUAGCGGUGAAAUGCGCAGAUAUCAGGAGGAACACCGGUGGCGAAGGCGGGUCUCUGGGCCGAUACUGACGCUGAGGAGCGAAAGCGUGGGGAGCGAACAGG
rnacentral:rRNA from 1 species